rnacentral:rRNA from 1 species
AUUGAACGCUGGCGGCAUGCUUUACACAUGCAAGUCGGACGGCAGCGCGGGCUUCGGCCUGGCGGCGAGUGGCGAACGGGUGAGUAAUACAUCUGAACGUGCCCAGUAGUGGGGGAUAGCUCGGCGAAAGCCGGAUUAAUACCGCAUACGACCUGAGGGUGAAAGCGGGGGACUUUAGGGCCUCGCGCUAUUGGAGCGUCCGAUGGCAGAUUAGCUAGUUGGUGGGGUAAAGGCCUACCAAGGCGACGAUCUGUAGCUGGUCUGAGAGGACGACCAGCCACACUGGGACUGAGACACGGCCCAGACUCCUACGGGAGGCAGCAGUGGGGAAUUUUGGACAAUGGGCGAAAGCCUGAUCCAGCAAUGCCGCGUGUGUGAUGAAGGCCUUCGGGUUGUAAAGCACUUUUGGCAGGAAAGAAAAGCGCCGUGCUAAUACCACGGUACGAUGACGGUACCGGAAGAAUAAGCACCGGCUAACUACGUG